AAACCGUGAUGUGGACAAAUGUUAAGCAGUUCUUUAAACCUAUCCCAACAUUGGUAGAGAGUUUCUCCUGGUUUUUGAGUGAAAAUGGUAAUUUUAAAAUAUAAGUGU
rfam:Citrus sinensis cultivar Ridge Pineapple sweet orange scaffold02546_contig_2, whole genome shotgun sequence.